rnacentral:lncRNA from 1 species
AUACGUGCAUGGGGCUUCUUGCUGUUAUGUUUUUUGUGUGUAUAUAUGUGUGGUUCUUGUUUGGUUAAAAUUGGAAGGUAGUUUAGGGGGACACAUUGAACAUGUGAUAAGAAACGUCAGACUAAGGAUUCUGUUGCAUUUUAUAUGGUCCUUUAUGAAAGUAGAACGUCAUAUUAAAAUUCCUUUUGGCAUGGACAUAGAGGAUACAGGUUGCGUCUACUGCUACGUACCUAGUUUGUUUGUUCGUGUGGAGUCUGGUUCUUUUUCUCCAUGUUGCGUAACUUGUGCUAUAUAACCACCUCUCGGGACCGAUAACUCAAGACUCAUCCGACUUGCAUUACUUGUGGUAAAAAUUCUACAUGUCCUAUUUGAUCACCCCUAUUUAAUUAACUUGUACUUAAUUUUAUUAAAAGUUUAUUAGUACCCAAAGUAGACAAGCUGUUUCUUCUUAGUUGUUGUGAAGAUAGAGGCGGCCGCAUAUUUACACAACAUUUGUGAGCAGGUUUUAAGGUGAUUUAUGAUGUCUUAAGGUAGUGAGCUGCGGAAACUCUCCUUUCUUUGCUACUACUUAAGGUUUCUUUUCUUCUUCUUCUUAGUUUCAAAAUGGUUUUGUUAUAUUUAUUAUUGUUUCAAUAAUAAUUGAUGAAUGUGAUUUGUUAUAUGUGAUAUUUGGAACCUAUGUAUCAAAUUUGAGCUAAUUUGAAGCAGAUUUGAUGUGUUGCAUUGUUGAAAUUUGAAGAACAAGUUUCGUUUUUGGACAAUUCAAACUUGAGACAAGAACAUCUUAAGUGCAUACAAAAAUUAUAAUAUUCACUACACCAAAAGAGACUUUUAGCAGCAAUAAAUUUUCCUUUUAGCGGCAAUAUUUAUUACUGCAAAAGUAUAUUUGCCGGCAAUUAAUUAAAUGCCAUUGGAUCCAAAGUCCCUAAAGCCUCUAGCGGCAUUUAUGCCAAAUAUUGGUAAAACCUAUUUUAUUGCCGUUAAAAAUAAUUACCUUUAGCGGCAUUUAUAUUUCAGCUUUUGUUAAUGCUAUUGCUAAUAAAAGAGAUAUGUUUUGCCAAUAAAUCAAUUGAUUCAAUUACAUAGAACCUAUAUGUGGCCCUCUGGCCGAUAAGAAUUAUAUUGAAAAACUGUUGGGAAUUCCCCGUCCAGUAAGUCCAAGCUCACUGUUAGGACAAAGCAAAGUGUAGGGAAUAUUGUUCUUCAAGAUCGAAUCACUGUUCAUUUUCUUACUUUUUCUCAAUUUCUUCUAGCUUCUUCCCAAUCUUUCAAAUGCUUGUAACGGAUAUUCAUCUGUGGUCCAUUCAGGAGUUCUUUUGCCAAAACUUCAUCAGAUGUAUGCUUUGUGGCAGAUCAUACUCAGAACUACUCAGAAGUUCCAGGCUCA